rnacentral:rRNA from 1 species
UACGGAGGGGGCUAGCGUUGUUCGGAAUUACUGGGCGUAAAGCGCACGUAGGCGGACUGUUAAGUCGGGGGUGAAAUCCUGGGGCUCAACCUCAGAAUUGCCUCCGAUACUGGUCGGCUAGAGUGUGGAAGAGGAUGCUGGAAUUCCCGGUGUAGCGGUGAAAUGCGCAGAUAUCAGGAAGAACACCCGUGGCGAAGGCGGCUCUCUGGUACGGAACUGACGCUGAGACGCGAAAGCGUGGGGAGCGAACAGG